rnacentral:ncRNA from 1 species
CGAAUUUGAGGGCUGAAAGGGUUGCAGCCGCCCCUUACGCUCUGCGUAAGGUUAGGAGAUGUGGAAGUUACUGUCCCACCAAAUUCA